UUUGAAUAAGGUUAGUCAUUGUUGCUUUUUUCCUAACACCUAAAUCACUUUAGUUCACUGAAGCUCUAGUAGUGUGGGCGUGGGAGUGGGACCAUGGAGGCAUUUUGCAGCGUGGCAUAUUCCAAAGCAGGGAGGAGAAAUCUGAACCGAGACUGUAGUGAAAGGCUCUGGGAGGCUGGGGGUAAGGCAUGUGCUCUAGGUACCUAGAAAUAAAGGGGAAGGCCUGGGAAAUCCUAGGAGACUUAUAGAAUGAAGAAGCCACCUAUCAGAGGCAAACAUCACUUGCUUAGAGUCAAUCUGCCGGACGAUACAGCCUUGAGGACAG
rnacentral:lncRNA from 1 species